GGUUUGCAGCAGGAAGUCAUUUCCUACAGUGAAGGAGUGGCCACAUCCUGCAGGGCCCGUAGGCACUUAGCAUGCCUGCCCAGAGCCAGGAAGAUCUAAAAACACCUGAGCCGCACUGGGUGUGGCGAUCCUCCUGGCUCAGCCUCCAGCCUGCUGCACCGUGCCUGGCCUCUCCCAAAUCUCUAGAUUUCAAGCUGUAUGUAGGCUACACCCUAACUGGCAAAGGACCAGCAUAACACACCAAGCACAGACUCUUCCCUGGCAUAUGAAGAACUGUGAGGACACAGACAGGAAUGGGGAGUUGGAGGCAGCAUAAAUAAUCACAGAAGACCACAAAGGUCAGUGGGAAAGAAAAAAUAAAGCUCUGGGAGUGGGGGGAGGCAAUGAGAGCUGGCACCACCUAUUGCAGGAGGGCAAGGAGACCCUGUGCUCUGGCCAGGAUGGCGGCGGGGGGGGGCUCCUUCCCGCUCCCCAGGGGUCUCUGUGAACAGGACUCCUGCAGGAGUCCAUGGGAAGGGCAGGCAUGGAGUGUCCCCUGUCCAGCAGUUUCCAGCCAGUGAGAGACAGGGCAACACCCAUUUCUAAGUCCCCAGAUUCCCCCACACUGAGACUUUUCUGAGAACAGUGCUUUAGGUUUCAGCAUGGAUGUCGAGAAAUGCAAAGAGAAAAAGAGGAGCAAAGAAAUGAAAAGGUGCAGAUGACCAGAUGAAACUCGGCACCCUCCUGCGCCGUGCACCCUGGGGCCUCUUCUGUGUCCUCGGCUGCACGAUGGGGUAGAGGUGAGGCUUGGUGACAUCCAAGGGGUCAAAGAACUGAGUAAAGUUUAAAAUGCUGUCCGAUGAGGGUGGCUGUGGUCAUUCCAUGUGCGUAAGGCUGAAAGUGGCUGAGAGUAUGGCGGGGAGACACAUGUGGGUCCCCAGAAGCCAUCAGACCCUGUUCUGCAAGCCGAGGGCCAUGCUCUACCCUUCUCAGCCUUGGUUUCCAGAGGAAGAGGCCACAUCUCAGAUGGAGUCCCCUGGGGGUGGAGCCAGGGGUGCAGGCCAGGAGGGUCCAGGGCCACCAGGUGCCCUCAACGGGGCAGUGUGGCACAUUGGCACUACUGGUAUCGACUGAUGGUAGAGUCUGCUUCAGCUCUCAUCCUGGGGAAGCCUGUGGGGACUGGCAUCUGGAUGCAGGGGAGGUGGUCUGGCCUUGGGGUCUGGACACCCCGGGCCCACAGUUGACCUGCUGGGUGACUUAGUACAUUGCUCCCCAUUGCAACCCUCAGUUGUGUGGUUUGACAAAUGGGGACGUGAAUCCCUACCCUUCCCAGCUCGCGGGUCCAGUGGGAAAAGGUGUGCAAGAGCUUUAACGAGAGUCAUGGGAAGGCAAGGGUGGUUAUGGCCUUAAGAGAGCGUCCUCUUUGUUCCCUGAAGACAAAGGCUGCCACAGGGAGAGACGGAAAGGUGAGCCAGACUUCCAA